rnacentral:tRNA from 1 species
AGCAUAAUCAAUUCUAUGUUACGGCCAUAGAUAGGGUAACGAGUUUUACCAUAUGCUU